GAAACUGUUUUCUUUAUUUUCUCUCUUUUACUCAUGAAUUCACUUUUGAGGCAGAUCUUUUCCAUUAGGCAUUUCCAUUUUCUAUUCCACAAGGCAAACAUUGAAAUUGAUGUCGAUAAUAGUUGGUAUUUCAUUUGAAAUUGCAAAUGUUAAGAUUCCUAUUUUUUUUAUCUUUGAAAAAAUUAUUUUCGUAACAAGACUUUUAAAAAAACUAUUAAUCUGUUGCUGGCGAAAAUACCUAGUAAUGCAGGGAGUACAAUUAUGAACACAUUGUGUACCUAUGAGUGAAAUGACAAGCUCGAUUGAAUAGUAGCAAUGAUAAGCGGCCGCGGUCGGGCCGCCGCCCUCCGCGCCGGCCCGCCGCGCCAGCCCGCCCGGCCGCGCUCUGCUGCCGACUGCCUCUGCCUAGUGCUUUAUGCCUCCCAUAACUAUAGCUCUAUAGCUACUUCACUUCCGUAAACUUACACAAGGAUGUGUUUUGAAUUUCACAAGUUAACAUAGUUAAAUAAAACUCUAGUGCUUAUCAAUGUUGCCUUACGCUUUACAGCGUUCAUGGCCCUAAAUACACAUGUAAGAUUUUAUAAAAAUAAGAGAGAUUUUGCAGAAAUUGCUAAUAUAUUAGUGCGAACCUACUCUAUUGGCUGUCUGUUUCUUAAUUGCCAGAUGAGAUUCUUAAUGCCUAUUAAAAAUGGCUCUGAGUCUACAAAGAAAUAAGUAAAUAUUUUGCAGUUUACAAAUGUUAACUAAUAAAUAGAAAAUGCAGUACUAAGAAAACUAAACUUAAAUGUUUGAGAUGACAAGUUUUUCAUACAACAUUAAAAAAAUAUAUAAAACCGAGAAUAGCAAUUUUUAACGCACGGGUUACACUAUUUAUUAAUUUUAGUAUUAUUUCUAAUGCCUUGUAUUAAUUUGUUACAUGAUUAAUGUUUUAGAUAUACAUGAAACUAAUCAAAUGCAAACAAGCCUUGUGUAUUUUUUAUCAUUUCCAAAUUAUAUGAAUGAACUCAAGUUCUACCUACCAAGCUUCUGUUUCAUUGUAGUGAAAUACGCUGUUAUUCGUCAAUUAUGCUUUAAUAUGUUUAUUAAAAUAAGUUUUUGUUUUUUUUUUUCAAUUUCGAAGUCACCGAAUUAGACUUUUCGUGGAUAACAACAGUAUCGUUGUCGAACUCGAAAGCUGUGCACUAUGAAAUUUCGCUUUUCGUCUGAGAAUUCCGCGUAGAGGAAAUUAGCGGGAGAAUGUGAGUGGGAAUGAGUCAGGUAUGCGACGUCACCGGCCUGAGUCACGGCGGUGACGUCGGCACCCACUCGCCAUCGCCUGCCUCACAUCACACUGUCGACGAUCUACCGUACAUUAAUUAGGCUGCGACGCCCACGGACCCGCGCGGCCCCAGCGCCUCCGCUUCCGGCGGCCCCCACAGCACGGUGUUGCAAGCGUUUCCUUUCCUGCUGCGGCCGCUACGAGGAUAUUAUUGGAGACUCGGUCUUAAGGCUGCACUGACCCGACCUUACACGAACAGUUCUCAAACCAAUAGAUAAUUUUUGGUGAGGAAGACCGAACACGUUUUGGGCAUCCGUAAUGGCGGCGGCGGCGAGUCUCCGCAUCGCAAAGCCGUCGGGACGUACGGUUCGGCGCUCGCCGCUCGGGACUCGGUCCCACGAUAACGCAUCGAGGGUCGCUCCACAAAAAGCGAUCAUUAUAAAGGACGUAAAGACCGCACCGGCGCCGAGCCUUCCCAGAACUGGGCCCAUUCUUGUUUCGCGCUCCCGCCUUAUUCACGGGGAUUUUUUGUUCGUUUUUGGUUAUAUUUUUUUUUGUUGCGCGAGCGGCGCUCUCGUGAGAGCUUCGAGGAAACGGCUUAUUGGGUUUCGUACAGGAGAUGGGGCUUAUCUCGAGGCGUCGAUCGGCGCGCCGGCCUGGGAACGUUACGCUCGGAGCUCGAAGGACCGUUAGCCGCAUUCCGCCGUCGCCUCGCCGCCUCGCCGCAACACCCCUUGUCGUCACGUCACCGAGACGCGGUCGUGACGCGCUAGACAAACACGAAUAUUGCUCGUUUUACAAACACCAAACGACGAGAAAAAUGUAUGUGAUAUAAAAUAGAAAGGCGCAAAAAGGGAGUACCCAACAUCAGCCCCGGGCCCGGCGCCGCCGCCGACACCCCGUGUCCCUUGAAACAUCACGCCAACUUUACAGUACGUGAACGCUGGUCCGCCGCGGGGCUACAGCACGAGGCCUGAGUCAGCAUGAUGUCAUGCGUGCGGGCCGGCCGCCGGCUAAUGGAGCGUCCCGGCAGUGUCACCUCACGUCCCAUUCCCGCCGCAUACUUCACCCAAUCGAGCGAUGACAAAUCCAUUCAUGUUCUUCUAUUCUAUUGUGCCCUCAUACUCGUUUAGAUGUUCACGGCCGAACACUGAAACGACACUUAAAUGCUUCAGAAUAUUGGCAGCUUCUCUAAUUAGCAUGAACAUGUUUACCACUGUCUCAGUUAAUAUUUUUUAAUAACUUACAACUAUGUAGUAGUAAGCUACUUCUAGAACAACGAAUUGUGGCGACUAACGAAGAGAGAAGAAAGAAGGAUUCACGAAACUGGUUUUCAUAAUGAUUUGACAGAUUGUAUAAAUUCUGAGAUCAUUGUGAAAGCUACGUUUUUGUUCCUGACUCGACACUUGAAGAUAUCUAACUGCGCUUCGAGUCCAGCUACAAAAGGAAACCAACAAUUUGUAAAUAAUAUUUCUGUGAUCGUUCGUGCAAAUAUGUACAUCAUAAAUAUCCAUUUAUUGUUAAAAUAACAUGCAAAUGGAUAUUUUUACAGAAUUUUGCAUAAAAGCGCAUAAACUUGUCUUUGUUUUGUUAUUGUUAUACUUUCAAUUACCUAGAACUAUGGAAAUAUUUUCUUUGCGUGUGUAAGCGUUUUCAUACUGCUUAGUAGACGUACGCUCGAGUUAGGCGCCAGCAUAAAUAUCACCGACGAAGUAAACACACAGGCAUUGGAAAUAAUUCUAAAUGUUUCAUAAUGUGCUAGCGUCCUAUAUAUCUUUUUUGUAUAAAUAGCUAAAUAACCGUCCGCGUCUAAUAAUGGCAACCCACUUUUUUUCUGUCCUCUUUACCUUGUUUCUUUUUCGAUUGUAUUUCGUUUAGAAUAUUCGACCAAAAGCUAUGAGCGAAAUAUUGUACAUAACAAAUUGAAAGCUUGUCAUACUUCAUACUAAUAUUAUAAAUGCGAAAGUUUAGAUGGAUGGAUGUUUGUUAGAGUUGUUGUCUAAACGG